AGAGUUUGAUCAUGGCUCAGGAUGAACGCUGGCGGCGUGCUAACACAUGCAAGUCGAGCGAUCUUCUUCGGAAGAGAGCGGCGGACGGGUGAGUAACGCGUGGGUAACCUGCCUCAUACACAUGGAUAACAUACCGAAAGGUAUGCUAAUACAAGAUGAUAUAAGAGAUUCGCAUGGAUUUCUUAUCAAAGCUUUUGCGGUAUGAGAUGGACCCGCGUCUGAUUAGCUAGUUGGUAAGGUAACGGCUUACCAAGGCGACGAUCAGUAGCCGACCUGAGAGGGUGAUCGGCCACAUUGGAACUGAGACACGGUCCAAACUCCUACGGGAGGCAGCAGUGGGGAAUAUUGCACAAUGGGCGAAAGCCUGAUGCAGCAACGCCGCGUGAGCGAUGAAGGCCUUCGGGUCGUAAAGCUCUGUCCUCAAGGAAGAUAAUGACGGUACUUGAGGAGGAAGCCCCGGCUAACUACGUGCCAGCAGCCGCGGUAAUACGUAGGGGGCUAGCGUUAUCCGGAUUUACUGGGCGUAAAGGGUGCGUAGGUGGUUUCUUAAGUCAGGAGUGAAAGGCUACGGCUCAACCGUAGUAAGCUCUUGAAACUGGGAAACUUGAGUGCAGGAGAGGAAAGUGGAAUUCCUAGUGUAGCGGUGAAAUGCGUAGAUAUUAGGAGGAACACCAGUAGCGAAGGCGGCUUUCUGGACUGUAACUGACACUGAGGCACGAAAGCGUGGGGAGCAAACAGGAUUAGAUACCCUGGUAGUCCACGCCGUAAACGAUGAGUACUAGGUGUCGGGGGUUACCCCCCUCGGUGCCGCAGCUAACGCAUUAAGUACUCCGCCUGGGGAGUACGCUCGCAAGAGUGAAACUCAAAGGAAUUGACGG
rnacentral:rRNA from 1 species